AGAGUUUGAUCAUGGCUCAGGACGAACGCUGGCGGCGUGCCUAAUACAUGCAAGUCGAGCGAACAGAUGAGGAGCUUGCUCCUUAAGAUGUUAGCGGCGGACGGGUGAGUAACACGUGGGCAACCUGCCCUAUAGUUUGGGAUAACUCGCGGAAACGUGAGCUAAUACCGAAUAAUACAUUCCAUCUCCUGAUGGGAUGUUGAAAGAUGGUUUUUCGCUAUCGCUAUAGGAUGGGCCCGCGGCGCAUUAGCUAGUAGGUGAGGUAACGGCUCACCUAGGCAACGAUGCGUAGCCGACCUGAGAGGGUGAUCGGCCACACUGGGACUGAGACACGGCCCAGACUCCUACGGGAGGCAGCAGUAGGGAAUCUUCCACAAUGGACGAAAGUCUGAUGGAGCAACGCCGCGUGAGUGAAGAAGGUUUUCGGAUCGUAAAACUCUGUUGUAAGGGAAGAACAAGUACAGUAGUAACUGGCUGUACCUUGACGGUACCUUAUUAGAAAGCCACGGCUAACUACGUGCCAGCAGCCGCGGUAAUACGUAGGUGGCAAGCGUUGUCCGGAAUUAUUGGGCGUAAAGCGCGCGCAGGCGGUCCUUUAAGUCUGAUGUGAAAUCACGUGGCUCAACCACGUGCGGUCAUUGGAAACUGGAGGACUUGAGUGCAGAAGAGGAAAGUGGAAUUCCAAGUGUAGCGGUGAAAUGCGUAGAGAUUUGGAGGAACACCAGUGGCGAAGGCGACUUUCUGGUCUGUAACUGACGCUGAGGCGCGAAAGCGUGGGAGCAACAGGAUUAGAUACCCUGGNAGUCCACGCCGUAAACGAUGAGUGCUAAGUGUUAGGGGUUUCCGCCCCUUAGUGCUGCAGCAAACGCAUUAAGCACUCCGCCU
rnacentral:rRNA from 1 species